GAUGCAUAGCCGACGUUGUAGGAGACUGAUCGGCCACAUUGGGGACUGAGACACGGCCCAAAACUCCUACGGGAGGCAGCAGUAGGGAAUCUUCCACAAUGGACGCAAGUCUGAUGGAGCAACGCCGCGUGAGUGAAGAAGGUUUUCGGAUCGUAAAGCUCUGUUGUUGGUGAAGAAGGAUAGAGGUAGUAACUGGCCUUUAUUUGACGGUAAUCAACCAGAAAGUCACGGCUAACUACGUGCCAGCAGCCGCGGGUAAU
rnacentral:rRNA from 1 species